GCGGGGAUGCCGGAGUGGUCAAACGGGAUAGACUAAGGAUCUAUUGACUUAGUGUCUACGCAGGUUCGAGCCCUGCUCCCCGCA
rnacentral:tRNA from 1 species